UCUCCGUUGGUGAACCAGCGGAGGGAUCAUUACAGAGUUGCAAAACUCCAAAACCAUUGUGAACGUUACCUAUCCCGUUGCUUCGGCGGGCGGCCCGGGCCCCGCGCCCGGCGCCCCCCGGCCCCCCGUGGGCGCCCGCCGGAGGUAAACCAAACCCUUGAAUUGCAUGGCCUCUCUGAGUCUUCUGUACUGAAUAAGUCAAAACUUUCAACAACGGAUCUCUUGGUUCUG
rnacentral:misc_RNA from 1 species